rnacentral:sRNA from 11 species
AUAAAAUAAGAGGGUGGAACCUUAAAUCCGCUCUCACUUACGCGGUCAAAGUCUUGGGAGGAUACGAUCCUGGCGCGCAUGUUCGCUGCCGCCGUUUGAAAAACGGAAACGGGUCGGACGCGUUUAGUUGCAAGGCGUACCUGCCUUGCUUUUUUUU